CAUCAGUGAUGAUACCUCUUCUGUAGUCAUUUCAAAAAUGGCUGAGUAGUAGGCUUAGACAAUGGAUAUCUAUAUGUUAUCCAUAGAAGCAACCUUGAGAAUAACAACGUCACCAUUAUACAUGAUUCUUAAUCAUGUGGUUCAGUCUCUUAUUUGAGUUCGAAUCUUGAUGAGACCUUGAUUCUCUGGCUUGAGCCAUCGCCCUAUUAGUGUCGUAGUGUCAGUACACUAGAGACACUUUCUGGUUGGAACCGAAUAGAGAGUUCAUAA
rnacentral:lncRNA from 1 species